rnacentral:tRNA from 1 species
GGAGCAGAUGGGCGCUGGUGUGUCCCUCGGUCUUCAAAACCGAUGCGGGUGGUUAUAACUGCCCGGGUGGGUUCGAUUCCCACAUGCUUCC